CCGCGCACUCCACUCUAUGUACGGGGGAUGGCUGAAAUAAAGGAGGUACCUUCCCCUUGGCUUGGGGUGCGGCAGUGUGGAGACCUGUCGCAAUGCGCGGCCGACGGUUUGCGCGGCGCGCGAGGCGGUUCGUUGAUGAAGUUCGGGACCGUUAAAGCCGAAAGCAGUAUGGCA
rnacentral:ncRNA from 1 species